AAAGAUAAUACCACCAACUAUGGGUGGCAAUUGAUUCUUGUGAUAACAUACUAUAAAGGUAAAGGUAUGGAUAAAAAAGAAAAUGCGUCCUUUGAAAGAUAUAGAACAAACUUGAAAUUCAAUGAAUUGUUCUUUUACAAAGCGCAUCACCAAACUUGAUUUCCCCAAGAAGCACCUAAAGAAGAACAUCAAACAUCACUGUGGUGAUCAUGACAUGCAAUACCCAAAGAAAAAUAAUUUAAGAAAAAAUAAACCUAUUCAUCACACAAUGCUAAAAUACAUAUGCCUACAUAUCCAUAAUUUCUAUGUUUACGGAACACCUUUCGAUAAGUCACAACCUUCAUUUUAAAAUGGACUUUUGUAUUUGUAUUUUGCUUGUGAGUAUGGUCUUGGUUAAAACUUCGCAUUCUAGCAUUUACUUAUAUGAUAUCAUAUAGCAAGAAAGCUAUGAGACCCAAGUCACAAUUUAUUGUAUUCUCAUAGACCCUCAAAAUACUAGAGCUAGACAAAGAUAAACAACACGAUAGAGAAACUUCUGCUUUACAUGUACAUUGACAUUUGCAUGUGCAAAGCUCUCUUUCCUCCUUUCCUUUCUUUUCUUCCUCACCUUUCGAAUCUUUCUCCUAGAUUAAGGAGAUUGUUGUUUUGUUGUUAGUGGUUGCCAUCAUCAUCACAUUGAAAUCAACUUUAGUUAAUACUAGCCUCCUGCACGCGCUCACGGGCGUGCGGAAGGCCCUUUUGUAAUUAAGGCAUUCUACGUGCGACUUAAAUAAUUUAAAUGAUAACAAAAGAGCGGUUGCUCUCUGAUCUAAUUGCAGACACAAUCUGCAGAACCGUCUUCUAUGGGAUUUGAACUUGUGAAGUGUGAGGUGGAGACCUGAAUGUAACAAAUUGGUGUUAAGUGAAUAAUUCCAAACAUAUAAAAUUUAGAUCAUCACACCGAACGCAAACAGAACAAUUAAAUAAACAACUGAAGGCAUACGCAAUCUAAUUAGACAAAUAAGUGAACUUUCCCAUGCCGAAAUCUGAAAGGCCAACAGAAAUAUCUCAUUACAGCACAGAAGACAAAACUUAGGACAAAACUUAAAACUAAUCAAACUUAGGUGAACCAAUUAUAGAGAACAUAACCCUUGUAACCAAUCGGGAAAAGAUGCUUUUAAAUCCCAGAAAAAAAAAUUAAGAGGAGUUUUUUAAAAAACCAUCAUUUCAAUUAUUUUCCAGUCUUACAUUUGGAUUAAACAGAAAAUAUAAGUAAAAAUGCCAACUUUCUAAAAAAACUACAACUAUUUUUACAAAUUUCCAUUACCCAAUGCUGAAAAAUGAGAAUCACGAAGCAAUGAAGAACGGAACACGCGAGAACCAAAAAGUUAAAAACAACACGUAACCAUUUCAAAGACCCAAAAUCCUGCAAGGACAAAAAAAUCCCAUAAAAUCAGUACAUCAGCACUCCCUGCAAAACCCCAAAAUCAGAAAAUUAUAAAAAGAACCCAAAAUCAGUGGCAUGGUCCUCGUUUCUCCAUCAUUCAGUAGCUAAUGACCUAAUGGAAAAGAACCCAAAACAUACAGCUUAAAAUAUGGAAAGUGCUUAUAAAAGCUCAUGAAUAACGUUCAAAGCCUGCAUAGAAAUGGUAUAGCGCAGAUAACAACAAACAAUAAAACUAUGCACAGUAUAACCUAAAUCCGAUAUGUUGCAUUCCCCACACACAGAUUGUUCAAAAUUAAUUUCGUCUCCGUCUUUUUUCAAAUCUGAUAAAAUCCCCAAAACACAAAAAAUAGCAGCUAACUAUUUUUUGAACUCUGUAAACAACGAUAUGCAUCUUAACCCAUUUAACAUAUUCAUAAAAUAACAUCAAACACAUUUAUGCAUGAGAUAAUAUAGAAGUGAAGUCUCACAACUUUCAUAAAAAAUUAUUACUUUGUUAGAGAAAGGCUUGAAAAAAUAUGUAAAUUACUCACCUCUAUUACAAAAAUGUUACAACAGUAGACAAAAAAGGCCAAAAAUACCAAAAGCCGCACCUCCUGAAAUAAAAAACAUAACCAAACGACACAUUCUCAGUAUCUAAACGAUAUCCAGAAAAAAAGAAAUGAACAGACGAAACCCAUGUAAAUAUACAGAACAAACCAAAAAAAAAAAAAAGAACUGAAGCCAGUAAGAAGAUCACAAAUCUGAUAAAGCAAAAGGUAACAUAAUCUAUAUCGAUUUAAUUAUCCAUCCAAAAAGACAUUUGAAUGAAGAACAUUUUUAAGGAUCCAAACAACCAUUAAACUAAACAAUUAAAAGUAAAAACAGCAAAGCAUUCAUUGAAGAAAUAUAUAUAUAUAUAUAUAUUAUAACGUAUUUUGUUCUUUAUACCUAAAAGAAAAACAUUGGCUUUCUUGUAUGCACUGAAGUAUGCAUGUGUCGGAAAUUUACAAUCUAUAGAGACUCAAUCUCAGACUCAAAAAGACAUCUAAAGGAAAAGUAAUAAGAAAAAUAAGUAGUGGUUUUACCUAUACUCCAUGUGUGGACUCCAAUUUUCAAUCACAAUUCAAAAUUCAAGAGGCCUAUAAAUCAACCACAUAGGAAAUGAUCAGUGGAAGAAAAAGAAAAACAACUGAAGCCAAAAUAGCAUCUAACAAAUCAUUUAGAACCAUCACAGAAAACAAUUUUUGCAUAUAAGUAAUUUAAAGGAAUACCAUCAGGUCAUGCAUAUAUACAACGUACCCAAUUAGAUAAGUAGCACAUCAACAAUUGAUGAUCAAAAAGUUAGUCAGCCUCAAUUGCUUGAAUCUAAUUAACUCAAAGAUAAUAAACAGUCCAUUUAAUGCACGGGCUGACUAUCAAUUUUAUAAAGCUAUAAUUCUGUGCAGUUCAAAAACCAAGUGGAAGAAUAGGCAAAAACUAUCUCAUCGCCUGUAAAUGUAAUUAACUAAAUAUUAAACUUCACAGCCACAAAUAAACCUAAAUUCCUCCUAAAACUAUCUCAUUUAAGCUUGAUUUUACUAUAAUCUAUAAGUGUGGUAAAAAAUGGGAGGCCAAACGAUUUGUUAACAAAAAAGGUAGACAUAAAAGUAAAAGGAACAGGGCAGACAUUAGUUGAGGAGAAGCUAAUGUCACCUUGAAUUGACGACAAACAGUUCUUAUCUUCUCGAAUUAACGAAGAUAAGUACCAUUUUUCUUUAAUUCAAGGUAAUAUAAAAAGAAAUUAUACCUGUACAGUGUUCAGAUGUAGCAAUCCUAUGCAAUCGGCCAAAUGAUGUGUGUCCUCUCAAAGAUCUGUAUAUCCAUUACAGACUAAUCUUCAGUCUUGCAGAAAAUGAUAUGUUGACUACAAUUUCCCAUACUACUAAAAAACACAAAUAAUUCUAUCUACAAACCAAAUAAUAUGUGCAACUUUAUGCUACAAUGGUAGAAUAAGAUGGUUGUACAGGACGACACAAAGAUUGAGACUUUUUUUUACUUCUAAAAUUCUACACACUUUCGAGCCCUAAAUUUUCCCGGAAACAAAAAAAAGUGAAAGAAGUCGUACCUGGUUUGAGAGAGUGGGACACCAUCGGCGAGUUUGGUGUAGCAGUGAUGGCGGAGAUCUCUGGUGAGAAAGCUAAUAAGAUGGACAAAAUCAUUGAACAAAAAAAACCUCGCUUUUUAAAAUUAAAGUCAACAAAAAUUUGAACAAAGAAAAGAGAACUCAAACCCGAAACAAAUAAGUCGGAGAACUCGCCAGGAAACCCAAAGUUUCUGCAGGAUUGGCGAUUUCCUGAAAACCAAGCUUUUGUAGGUUUAAAAUUUCUUCCCUAAGGCAACAGAUCCAACAUUCCCAACUUUAGCUAUUUCAGCUACAUAAUAGAAAGAAAAAAAAAUUUAUAUAAUUAACUAAUCUGAUUUAAGAUUAAUCGAAAAGCUUGGAAAUUUCAGCUUUAAAAUUACAUGUCAGGCUGCAAAUCUAAUAAAAAGCGUAGAAUUUUAAAAAUGCUGACCUUAAAUACAGAGGCCUUCGCAGGCUGCAAAGAAGCGUUAGAAACCCGAAAAACCGGAUCUCCUGAAACCAAAAACAAAACCAAAUUAACCAUCAUCACCCAUAAUUCGAAGCCACAAACAUAAUCCCCAAAAUUACAACCCAAAAAUUUAAACAAAAAAACCCAUUUAUAAAUCCAAAUUUACACUCCCAAGUGCAAGACUCUAAGCUCCAACUGUUCUUUCUCAACUUUAGCUAUUUCAGCAACAUAACAUAAAUAAAAAGGUCGUACCCAGUGCACAAGGCUCCCGCUUUACGCAGGGUCUGGGAGAGGUGAAUGUCGGCUAGCCUUACCCCCAUUUUAUGGAGAGGCUGCUCCCAAGUCUCGAACCCGAGACCUACCGCUCAUGGGCGAAGACACUUGCCAUCGCACCAAGUGCGACCUCUAGCAACAUAACAUAAAUAAAAAGAUCGUACCCAGUGCACAAGGCUCCCGCUUUACGCAGGGUCUGGGAGAGGUGAACGUCGGCUAGCCUUACCCCCAUUUUAUGAAGAGGCUGGAACAUAACAUAAAUAAAUAAACAAAAUUAAUUUAACUAUAAUUAACUAAUAUGAUUUAAGAUUAAUCAAAAAACUUGGAAAUCUGCUUGAAUCCAAUCUCAAAAUUGAAAACGAACACUUCACUUUUACAAAAGUUGUACAAAGCAAAAAAAAAAAAACAGACAAAUCAAAGUCUCACAAAGGGCCACAACGACAGCAAAAUUGCAACAGAAAGAGGAAAAAUGUUCAAUCAAACCAUUGGAUAACUCUUCUAAGGCAGCCAAAAAAAAACCCACAAAUUCAAAACCACAAAAAUCCAAUCUAAAACAUCGAUUCACAGACUGAGAUGCACAAAAUGAUAUAUUAACAAAUCCAAAACGAAAUACAAAAAUUAAGAACCAACAAGCAAAAAAAUACUGAUUAUCCCCUGCAUACGUGAGCACACGUUCAAAAAGCCUCUCAAAGGCUGAGAUUCAACUUUCAAACAUAAAGACUUUAAGCCACAAUUGUUCUUUCUUAACUUUAGCUACUUCAGUUACAUAAUCGGAAAAAAAAAAUUAUUUAAUUAUAGUUAACUAAUCUGGGUUAAGAUUAAUAAAAAAGCUUGGAAAUUUCAGAUCUAAAAUCACACCUCAGGCUGCAAGUAGAAUCAAAACCAUGGAAUUUCAAAAUCACUGACCUUAAACACACAGGUCUUCGCAGGCUUCAAAGAAAAGUCACAAACUCGAAAAACCCAAUCUCCUGAAAUCGAAAACAAAACCAAAUUAACCAUCAUCACCUAGAAUCCGAAGCUACAAAACAAAAUUCCCAAAAUCAAAACCAAAAAAUUUGAACAAAAAACUCAUUUAAUAUCCAAAUUUACACUCCCAAGCACAUAACAUUCAAAGCAGACAAUUACCCAAAUCAAAUCGACAGCAGGAGAUGCAAUCUUUUAUGGGCUUCAAAUUUUCUUCAAACCGAGACCAAAUUCGCUAGUUUUCAGCAAGAGAGCGUUGCCGUUUGUAACCCCCGAUGAAAAGAUCCAAACAAAUUUGACUAACAGUAGACAGAGAGAGAGAGAGAUAGAGAGAGAGAGGUGAAAAUUACUCGCUGGUGACGAAGCUAAUGAAUUCGGAGACGCAUUCCUGGACGGUGUUCGACUGAUCGGCACGAGUAGAGACACCAGAUCAGAAAGACAGAAAAAUUAGGGUUUGGGAGAUAAAGAAACUGGGGCAGAGAGAGAGGGAAAGAGAAGCAGAAAAGAGGAUAAUUUUAUGCAUUUUUUUUAGCCGCUUUGAAUUUUUUUUGGCCGACAGGCAUUUGCGUCCGAUUAUUUUUGUCGAAGCCGGUGACACCAAAACCGGCCUCCGGCUUUCGGACCAGGAUUGUCUGCCCCUUCAUUUUCCCUGCCAUGU
rnacentral:lncRNA from 1 species